rnacentral:lncRNA from 1 species
UUUUUUAUAGUUUUCGAUUAAUUUAUUUAUGAGAUCAAUAUAUUUUUGCUCUUUAAGUAUACUAUUAUUUAUUUUAAAGAAUCCCCUGCCUCUUUCUUCCGAAUUUUGUCUUACUUGUAAAGAAAUGGCUUGGUGAUCAGUAUAUGAUAUCAUUGCAGGUCGAAUAUCUGCUUUCAUAACAUGCGGUCUUAUAUCAGGACUUAUUAGAAAGAAGUCAAUUCUACUGGCUAUUUUUGUAUCAUUUUUCCUUCUCCAUGUGAAUUGACUUGUAUUUGGAUGAAGUUCUCUCCAUAUAUCUGUUAAAUUAUUUUUCUUUAUUAAUUUUUUUAAACUAUUCACUGGUUUGUAGUUUCGAGAGAUAUUAUUAGUUUUUUUUUAUCAUUAAUUGAUAGGGUUUCGUUCAUGUCACCUCCAAGUAUAAGAAUACCCAAGCGAUUGUUUUCAAUUAUAUUUUGGACCUUUUUGAAAAAUUUGUUUCUGUUUUUGUGUUGAUUUGGAGCAUAUACAUUUAUUAAAGUAAAAAUGUUUUCAUUUAUUUCUAUGUUAAUCAAAAUUAUUCUGCCUUCUGUAUCUUUUAUCUCAUUUAUUGUCUUACAUUUUAAAUUAUUUUUCACAUAGAUUGAUACCCCUUUUGAUUGUGUGUUACCAU